UAUUUUAAACAGGUUUGCAAUUUUUUUUUCAAGGUAACAGAAUAUUCUGAAUUCAGGAAAGAGUUUAGAGAGGUUAUUGCCUUCUUAAUAAUUUAGAGCUUCUAUUGCUCUGCCAAGUCAGAAGAUUAACAUUUAAUAGAAGAAAAUUAUAUAUCUGUAAUUCAGUCAUGGCUAUAAGAUCAGAUGGAUUUUACAUUAAGUGAAAAAGAUGUCGAGCAUUUAAGGACCAUUAAACUACAGGACUCUUUUAUUGGGUUUUAAGGCCUCCGAGCCCAGGUCCUGCUGUGAAGAGUAUUUAUUUUUACAUGUACAGAACACACUAAGGAUGGGAAAAGGGCAUACAUUUUAAAAGAAAAUAGGCCAUGAAAAAGUGUGAUUUUCUACAUUGUGAACAGCUACCAUUCAGAUUUAAUCUUUUUAAAUAAUAAUUAGUUUUAUGCAUCAUUAAGUAGCUUUCUUACAGGCUGGAAGAAUAUGGUGAAGUCCACUUUAAAAGUGGUACCUGCAGGAAAUCCAAGUAGCUGGGUACCCUCUGUUGACAUUUCACUUUGAGGAACCACAUUUCUAAUAGUUUCCAGGUAGCUCAACAUUGUAAAGAAUUUAAGUUUGAAAAUGCCUUCUCCAGUGGUCCUUAAGGACUAUGAAAACAAAAGACCUAGAGAGAAGUGACUUCUAAUAAGCGUCUACCUUUUUCUAGUGAUGCCCACAUUGUCAAGGAAGGACUGGAAUUUGACUCUUGAGAAGAACCACUUACCUACGGGGAGAAAUUCUGCACCAUCCAAAAGUCUGCACCAUCCCUUUCAUUAACCAAUGCAAAGAAGUGAACAUCACAUAUGUGAGGCACAGCAUCCAUUAGGAAGAGCACAGUUAUUCCUGGUUGUGAAGCCGGCCAGCCUUUCCCCCAUGGGUCCAGCACAUCAUUUCAAACCGGAGUAAAAACUCCCUUUGGGGCACAUGCCAUGAGAUAAACAGGGUGCAUCUUCCUAAGUGCUUCCAUCGGACUUGAUGCUCCCUGCCAGGUCCCGCUGAUAAGGAACACUAAAGGGAGACCAGAAGACAGGAGGAUGGAGAAGGGUCAUACUCCUGUGUAUUUGCUGUUGCUGUCAGCGUUACCCUGGCAGCAGAGUUGGGUCCAGUUUCCAGUGUUUCUCUAUGAUCCCGCAAUCAACCCAUCACACCCCAUCAGAGACAGCCUUCGGACCUGAACUAGAACAUCUGCUCUCCUGGGUCUCCAGCCUGCCAGCCCAGCCUGCAGAUUUUGGACUUGCCAGCCUCCAGAAUUAUGAAUUUAUCCUCCCAAACCAUGGCAUGAAUGAGUAAAGAUCAUCCUGUUUCCAUGACAUCCUACUCCAAUCCCCCAAACCCAGAGCAAGCCUGGUCAGGGGUGGGGAGUCACCAUGCAGUUGAAGAGCCCUGACCCAACCAAGUGAUGUCACAGGAGCUGGUCCAGGAUGGAGAUCCUGUCCAUUUGCUGGUGGCCAGAGUCACAGGGUCACAAGCCCUCCAGCUGCUUGACUCAAAAGGGCGCCCAGGGCACAGCAGGCUUGGGCUCUGUGGUUCUGUCUGGGGUGAUUUUGCUUCCUGAGGACAUCUGGCAAUGUCUGGAGACACUUGUAGUUCUUACCACUGGGGAGUGGGUGCUACUGGAAUCCAGGGAGGAGUGGGCAAGGAAGGCUGCUAAACAUACUAUAGACCAAGAAUUACCCAGCCCCAAGUCUCCAUAAGGCUGAGAUUUCAAAACCUGCCCGCCAUUAGAUCCCCUGGUCGGUCUUGCAGCAGGAGGGAUGGGGUCCUGAGGGUCCCACCUGUGGAAGUUCCUUGGCCGGUAUGCCCCUGUUCUAGAGGAGAGGCAGGUUUCUCCAAGGCCAGGUGGAGAGAACCAGCCCAGUCCACCCCAGGCGCUGCAUUUCCCAGGAGCUGGGAGGAAUUAAGUUAUAAUAUACGGACUAACAUUGAUACAGUGUGUGACAGGUGACAGAGUUCUUCCUCUGUGCUGGGGUUCAGUACAGGCUGGGGUCCUCUGCACUGCCGCCCAUAUUGUUGGGGUCCUGGACAGGUUGGGGGGAAGGGGAAAGGCUAUAUCUGCUUCUCAUUCUUUCAUGAAACGAGUUCCUUGUCAUAAACUCCCCAGUCUCCCUUUGAUCACAACUCUGACGGUUCAAACCCUUCAUGUUAUUGCAGGUUCCACUUGUGGGUAGGAGGCCUUCCCCAGCAGAUGUGGAGGCAAACAUACUCUUUCUCCCCAUGCUGUGGUAUCCUGGAGACUGGUGAGCCGGAGCUAGGAUGCCAUGAC